UUGGACAAAGCAUCAGAUGAUGACGAGGAAGACGAGCCAUUCCCGUUAUGAACAUGCUAUGCCACCGCCAGUGACAUGAUCACAAUCCACGGCCUCUACUGCCAGCUCCUCUUCCUUGAUUUUCAGAACCACCUCGCUUUUAUCCUUAUCCAAGCCCUAGAUCAAAUGUGAACACGAGCAACAAGAACCGGCACCACAGCCAACACCUCCCCCAUCUGCUCGAACAUUUCCGCCGCAAUUGUAGCGAGAAUUAUCAAGCUGUGGCGGCUGCGGUGGCGUGUGUGAUUCUUUGAUUGUAACCGAUUCAAGGGAUUUCUCCUUCUUGUUUUCUAGUUGAGUGUGAACCUUAUUUGGUUCUUGAACGGGUUUCAGUAAAUAAUACUAUAUAGAUGAGAAAAGUGGCGAAGAAGACUAUUCACCUCUACCGCCGUCGGCACAAAUAUCUUGCGCCACCAUUUCUUUUUUCGUCCUCGUAGGAAAUUGAUUCCGAGUUACAGUAACAAUGGCCGUCACCGUACCUAUGAGAUAAGAGGACUGUGUCCCCGGGGAGGGAGAAAGUAGGCAGAGAAGUGAGUAGGUGAAUUAGUGUCCGUAACAAAAUAAAGCGAUGGAGAGGGAUCGCCACGUUUUUGUUCUGUUUGAUACUUUUAACAUGCGUUCAGUCCCACUUCAUCCAAAUCCCUUAUUUCCUUUAAAUUCUAUUUUGACCCCAAAUAUUUCUCUAUAUUCUCAAGAACUGGCCUCUCUUCAAAUUAUGCAAGGAAAAAACUACUGUUUUUUCU
rnacentral:lncRNA from 1 species